rnacentral:tRNA from 1 species
GCGAAAGUGGUGAAAUUGGCAGACACGCCAGACUUAGGAUCUGGUGCCUUACGGCUUGGGGGUUCGAGUCCCCUCUUUCGCA